UACGUAGGGUGCGAGCGUUAAUCGGAAUUACUGGGCGUAAAGCGUGCGCAGGCGGCGCGUUAAGACAGGUGUGAAAGCCCCGAGCUUAACUUGGGAAUUGCGCUUGUGACUGGCGAGCUGGAGUGUGGCGGAGGGAGGUGGAAUUCCACGUGUAGCAGUGAAAUGCGUAGAGAUGUGGAGGAACACCGAUGGCGAAGGCAGCCUCCUGGGCCAGCACUGACGCUCAUGCACGAAAGCGUGGGGAGCAAACAGG
rnacentral:rRNA from 1 species